AUACAGAACGUCCCAUCACUAGUUCAUUCACCGCCAGUUUGUCAUCAACACAUGUUGGUAACAGGCCUUAUACUUCAAGUUCUUGCUGUGAUCUAUCUUGUUAACACGACUCUCUUGUGCUGCAGUUGCUGUAUUCACCUUGGCUCACGCUCCACCUCCGAACUCAAGAUACCAAGCAAUCCUUCUGAAAAUCUCUCUGUGCCUCACCUGCCUGCCCUCCUGCCAUCACACUCCAUCUGAAGCCCCGGAUCUCAGACCAGCCUUUCCACGCCACUCAGCCUCCCCUGGAUUCUCAUACCCCCCUCUCAACACUCCAUGUCCCCUACUGCAAUGUGACUGUUCCCUGCUCAGCUCCACUCCGCAUCUCAGGCCUCAUUCCCUCGCCCUAGCCACGUUCCCCAGGCCACGCCUCGUCAAACUCCACGUCUUAUUGUUUUUUUGUCUUUGCUACGUUUUCUUUUUUGCACUUUAGCCUAAUAAAUUGUUACAUCAUC